CUUAAAUUUCUACAGUCCAAAAUAUAAAAAUAAUAGAUAAAAAUUGGUGAAUAUUUUUUAUUUAUUAUUAUAUAUAUCUAAUAUUUAAGAUUUAGGUAAUUAAUAGUAUAAUUAGGGAAACAUUUCAAGGAAUCAAACAACUCCUCAAACAACCCCAACACUGGUCAGAUUCAAAAUUUGAACUUGCAGACAUUACAAGAAAAGAUGUCUUAUUUAUCUUGACCAAAAUAUGAAUUUUACCAUGGAUGUAGAGUUGUGGCCUAAAAAGAGCCAAAGUAUUCUAUUAACAUUAAAAAGUGCAGAUGUAUUAUUCUGAUGACAUAUAACUAUUGGAUUUGUGAAGAUUGAUGUUUUCAUAUAUUUUGGAUUAAAUCUUCUGAACUGCAUGGUGAAACAAAAGACAAUUGUUUUGUGAUAGGACUGAAGAAUGGACACAUUCAAUCAGACUUGGAGCAUCAUACGAAAGAAAUGGAAAGUUGUCCACUAGGUCAUCAACCAUCUGCCGAAGCCAAGAAAGGAACACAAUACAAGAUAGACGUCAGAUAGCAAUAAUGAACUUUGAACAUUUCCAAAAUGUUUAACUUAAAUUUACAUUAAAACAUAGUCUAAUUUUAA